CCUACGGGUGGCAGCAGUAGGGAAUCUUCCACAAUGGACGAAAGUCUGAUGGAGCAACGCCGCGUGAGUGAAGAAGGGUUUCGGCUCGUAAAACUCUGUUGGUAGUGAAGAAAGAUAGAGGUAGUAACUGGCCUUUAUUUGACGGUAAUUACUUAGAAAGUCACGGCUAACUACGUGCCAGCCGCCGCGGUAAUACGUAGGUGGCAAGCGUUGUCCGGAUUUAUUGGGCGUAAAGCGAGUGCAGGCGGUUCAAUAAGUCUGAUGUGAAAGCCUUCGGCUCAACCGGAGAAUUGCAUCAGAAACUGGUGAACUUGAGUGCAGAAGAGGAGAGUGGAACUCCAGGUGUAGCGGUGGAAUGCGUAGAUAUAUGGCAGAACACCAGUGGCGAAGGCGGCUCUCUGGGCUGCAACUGACGCUGAGGCUCGAAAGCAUGGGUAGCGAACAGGAUUAGAUACCCUAGUAGUC
rnacentral:rRNA from 1 species